AACGAACGCUGGCGGCAGGCUUAACACAUGCAAGUCGAACGCCCCGCAAGGGGAGUGGCAGACGGGUGAGUAACGCGUGGGAACAUACCCUUUCCUGCGGAAUAGCUCUGGGAAACUGGAAUUAAUACCGCAUACGCCCUACGGGGGGAAGAUUUAUCGGGGAAGGAUUGGCCCGCGUUGGAUUAGCUAGUUGGUGGGGUAAAGGCCUACUAAGGCGACGAUCCAUAGCUGGUCUGAGAGGAUGAUCAGCCACAUUGGGACUGAGACACGGCCCAAACUCCUACGGGAGGCAGCAGGGGGAAAUAUUGGAGAAGGGGCGGAGGCCUUAUCCAGCCAUGCCGCGUGAGUGAUGAAGGCUUUAGGGUUGUAAAGCUCUUUCACCGAUGAAGAUAAUGACGGUAGUCGGAGAAGAAGCCCCGGCUAACUUCGUGCCAGCCGCCGCGGUAAGAC
rnacentral:rRNA from 1 species